rnacentral:tRNA from 2 species
AAGGUUUUAGCUUAAUAAAAGCAUCUGGGUUGCAUUCAGAAGAUGUGAGAUAAAAUCUUGCAAGUCUUA